UACGUAGGGGGCAAGCGUUGUCCGGAAUCAUUGGGCGUAAAGAGCGCGUAGGCGGUCCGGUAAGUCCGCUCUGAAAGUCCGGGGCUCAACCCCGGGAGGCGGGCGGAUACUGUCGGGCUAGAGUCCGGAAGAGGCGAGUGGAAUUCCUGGUGUAGCGGUGGAAUGCGUAGAGAUCCGGAAGAACACCGGUGGCGAAGGCGGUCUGCUGGGCAGUUGCUGACACUGAGGCGCGACAGCGUGGGGAGCGAACAGG
rnacentral:rRNA from 1 species